GCGUUGAAACACUGGUUCUCGUAUGAUGACCGAAGUUAAAGCAACAUCGAGCCCGGUCAGUACCUAGAUGGGUGACCACCUGGGAAUACCAAGUAUUGUAA